rnacentral:lncRNA from 1 species
UGCUUUCUAAAGGAAUUAAGCCAGAUGUUGUUACAUAUAACACCUUGUUUCGUGGCCUUUUUGAAAUACACCAGGUUGAGCAUGCUUUAAAAUUGUUUGAUGAGAUGCAGCAUAGUGAUGUGGCAGCUGAGACCUCUACGUAUAAUACCUUUAUUGACGGGCUCUGCAAGAAUGGUUAUAUUGUAGAGGCAGCUGAACUAUUUCGUACUUUGAGAGUACUCAAGUGUGAACUUGGUAUUGAAGCAUACAGCUGCCUCAUUGAUGGAUUGUGUAAAAUAGGCAAACUGGAAACUGCUUGGGAACUGUUUCAAAGUUUGCCUCGUGUAGGCCUAAUGCCAAAUGUUGUAACAUAUAACAUCAUGAUCCAUGGGUUUUGUAAUGAUGGGCAAAUGGACAAGGCACAUGAUUUAUUUCUUGAUAUGGAAGCAAAGGGUGUGGAACCCGAUUUUGUCAUAUUUAAUACGCUUAUGCUGGGUUUCAUCCGCUGUAAUGAGACAUCAAAAGUUAUUGAACUCCUUCACGGAAUGGAUAAGAGAAAUGUAAUGCCAGACGCAUCUAUACUCUCAAUUGUUGUGGACUUGCUUGUUAAGAAUGAAAUUAGUUUAAACUCGAUUCCACAUUUCAAGAGACACAAGUAAGUCAAUGAGCUGAAUGCUGAUUUACUUGCAUGUUUUUUCUGCCUAAAAUCUGGAUCUGGAGAAUCCCAUUCUUAUUACAACACAUGAAGUAUUGUUGCGUAGUGAUGGCAUGUCCCAGGUUCUGUUCAUGGAUUCUGUUUGCAGAUAUGGAUGACUCAUCAGUUAAGUUUCAAAGUCUGGCAACUUUUUGUUGUAAAAUUACUUUUUAUUAUUCAGGUCAUAUGUUUUCCUUCUAUAAUGCAUCUUUUUCAUUAGCUGGAAGUGCAAAGUUUUUAUGCUCUUUCUGUAUGACCACUUUUUCUUCACUAAAUAGAUAAAAUGGCAUUUAGUUUUUCGUUUGUGAGGCUACUAGGUUUAUGUUCAAACUUUCUGUUAGUUAAAUUGAUUGUCUUUGAUAUCUAGCACUUCUAGUUGUACUAAUUUGUACUUCUGAGUAUAUGGGAUUGCCGACUGUAAUGGGAAUUGAUGCCAAAUUAAUUAUGCAUCAAGUUUUUCAGCGUGUUCAUCUUUUAUUUCUGUUAACAUUUUGGCUUUGGACAUGCUGGAUUGUUUUUGGUUUCAGUGAUACAAAACAUCUAACUAAUUGUCCAAAGUUCUUCAUUCCUUGUGACAUAGCAUUCAAUUGAAUGGUGACUCAUGAAUCAUGAUUGUGUGUUUUGGUAUUUGUAUAAUUGUAUACUAUGUAUUGGCAAGACAAAGUUUGUUGAAACUGAGAAACAUUUUUCCGCCUUCCAUUCUUGUUUCAUAUUCUUAUGCUAACAAAUCUUGAUCAUGAUGAGUCUCCUCUUUUCUUUACAACCCACAAAUAAAGUCCUGGCCAUAAGCCUCAAGGCCUAUUGGCUAUUGCAGCGGUGAGUUCACUCUCAGGAAUCAGAUCUUUCAAAUUCGAGGAAAUUUGAAAAAAUUGCAAAUGUCUACAAAGCAAAUGGUCUAAAGGUCCUUUUUGUUAUCACUCACAGAUAUUAACGGGUGCAUGCAUAAUGUUGUUACUUACAACACGUUAAUAAAUGGGUACUGCAAGACUAAGGAUGUAGAGGAAUCUUUAAAUCUAUAUAGUGAAAUGCUUUCUAAAGGAAUUAGGCCAACAGUUGUUACAUAUAACACCUUGUUUCAUGGCCUUUUUGAAAUACACCAGGUUGAGCAUGCUUUAAAAUUGUUUGAUGAGAUGCAGCAUAGUGAUGUGGCAGCUGAGACCUCUACGUAUAAUACCUUUAUUGACGGGCUCUGCAAGAAUGGUUAUAUUGUAGAGGCAGCUGAACUAUUUCGUACUUUGAGAGUACUCAAGUGUGAACUUGGUAUUGAAGCAUACAGCUGCCUCAUUGAUGGAUUGUGUAAAAUAGGCAAACUGGAAACUGCUU